CGCGUAGGUGGUUCGUUAAGUUGGAUGUGAAAUCCCCGGGCUCAACCUGGGAACUGCAUUCAAAACUGACGAGCUAGAGUAUGGUAGAGGGUGGUGGAAUUUCCUGUGUAGCGGCGAAAUGCGUAGAUAUAGGAAGGAACACCAGUGGCGAAGGCGACCACCUGGACUGAUACUGACACUGAGGUGCGAAAGCGUGGGGAGCAAACA
rnacentral:rRNA from 1 species